GUGAGCUCAGAGAGUUGUGUGUUAUUUGUGUUUACCGAUGUGAGCACAGAGAGUGUGUGUUAUUUGUGUUUACCGAUAUGAGCACAGAGUGUUGUGUGUUAUUUGUGUUUACCGAUGUGAGCUCUCCGCCACACUCUCUCCACGGGCGCCUGUAGGGAGCAGUGGUCCACUCUACACAUCACCCCCUCUGCAGGCUCCACCCCCUUGACCCCUGACCCCGGCUCCUCCAGCACGGCCGUGGCCCGGAACGUUGCGGGGUCUGUGAGCAAAGGCCCCCAGAGCUGUGUCCCCUCUGUAAUCUCCACUCUCUCUUCAUCAUCAUCAUCAUCAUCCUCAUCUUCCUCGCUCCCUCGCUCUGCGUCCUUUCUCCGCUCUACCGUCCGCAGUUGCAGCCAGGUGACGGACACGUCGGGGGGGUAGAAUCCGGUGACCUCACAGCUGAAUGUGAGAGCUGCGUUGUGACUCGCUGAGGUGAUUUCUGAGACACUGGGUUUCUUUAUGAACCCUGAGAAACAGGAAGUCAUAAAAUCACCUCCAGUGCCCCCUUCCUCCCUCUCAACAACCUUCAGUAACCCUGGGACUCAAUGCUAUUUCUAAAUGCACACCAAAUAGAAACACACAAGCAUAGUCUAAACAAAAAAAUAAAAUAAAUAAAUGUCCAUCAGUGUCUUUUUGGCAGUUUCUUUGUCCUGUCUCCUCCUUUCAGUUUUGUCACGUAUUUGUUACGUAUUUUUUGCAUUUUCAUAUAUUCUGACACUUUUGGAAAAUUGAAGACUGAACAACCUGUCUUAUUAUCAUGUUAUUUUGUUGUGAAUUAUAGGGUAGGUUCCUAAAUAUUUCUCUCCCCCCUCCCCCUUCUCCCCCUUCCUCUCCUCACCUGUGGUCUUGCGUGUGAUUGGCUGUUUAAGGGCGAUGUGGUGCACAGUGACCCACACCUUGGUCCCGCCCCUCUCCAGCUCAGCGCGGGGGAGUCGGCACUGGCUCAUGGCCGAGAAGAAGCCCUCGCCGUCGGGUCGGGGCGCCGCCAGAGCCGGGGCCAAAGCAACCGGGCUCAGCUCGCCGCCUUCGCAGAACCAGCGGAACGUGAUGACGUCAGGGUGGAACCGGGAGGCCUGCACUGUCAGCAUGGUGGUGUCUGCAGCACGGAACCGGAGAGAACAGAAGAGUGAUGAAGAGUGAUGAAGGGGGAUGAAGGCUCAGGCGGGGAUCACCACUGAGCUAAAAAA
ensembl:lncRNA